UUAAAUUAGGGCUCUUUGGCGGCAGAGAUCGGUCAGCCUCCUCCUGUGCUGCUUUACGCGCAGCUUCUCCUCUCGGUUCUGUUCCUUGAUGGCUCCACCAUUAGAGCCCACGGGAGACGAGCGGCAGCUGCUGCAGGCGGAGGAAGGAGAAGUAGUGGCUGGAGAGGAAGAGAACAAAGACGCGGAGUGGUGCUACCAGUGGCCGGUCUUCAGAUUCGACCGAGCCCCGCGCAGGCUCUACCACUUCCGCCAGCAGUUCCGGGCGGGAGAAAGCCCUAGCGGCAACUUCUUGAAAGGGGUGAAGUGGUCGCCCGACGGCUCCUGCUUCCUCACCAGCUCCGACGACAACACCCUCCGCCUUUUUUACUUACCGGAGGAUGCGUUCACCGAUCGUGCGGAGUGUACUGGUGCUGAGAUUGAUGGACCGGAUUCAUACGUUUCUAGUCUCACUGUGGGCGAGGCUGAGACCGUCUAUGACUACUGUUGGUUCCCUUACAUGUCUGCAUCAGAUCCUGCAACCUGUGUAUUUGCAAGUACAACACGCGACCAUCCGAUCCAUCUGUGGGAUGCCAAUUCUGGUCAGCUACGUUGCACCUAUAGAGCGUACGAUGCCAUGGAUGAGAUAACAGCUGCCCUUUCUGUUUCUUUCAACACAUCCGGAUCCAAGCUUUUCGCUGGAUAUAAUAAAUUUUUAAGAGUUUUUGAUGUACAUCGCCCUGGACGUGAGUUCCAGCAGCAUUCUCUGAUUAAAGGAAAUGAUGGUCCUUCAGGUAUUGUAUCUUCUAUAGCCUUUUCUCCUACUCACAUUGGGAUGGUUGCUAUUGGCUCUUAUAGCCAGACAACUGCAAUUUACUCGGAAGAUAAUAUGGAGUUGUUGUAUGUUUUACAUGGCCAAUUAGGGGGUGUUACACAGGUAUUGUUCUCAAAAGAUGGAAAUUAUCUUUAUACAGGAGGGCGGAAGGAUCCUUAUAUAUUGUGCUGGGAUAUACGCAAUACCAUUGGGAUAGUUUACCAACUAUACAGAUCAUCAGAACAUACAAACCAGAGAAUAUCAUUUGAUAUUGAACCUUGUGGCAGGCACCUUGGUACUGGGGGAGAGGAUGGUCUAGUUCACAUUUAUGAUCUUCAAACUGGGGACUGGGCCGCAAGCUUUCAAGCUGCAUCUGAUACUGUAAAUGGUUUCUCAUUUCAUCCUUCUUUGCCAUUGGCUGCAUCAUCAUCUGGGAACCGAAGAUUUGAUUUGCUAGACAAUGUUGAGGAGAAAUUAAGCUUGAGUGGUGACCAGAACUGUGCCUCAGUGUGGUCCUUCUCUGGUUCCCUGGAGUUGGGGCAUGAUGCAGCUAUCACAGAUGAAGCAUUGGAUUCUGGAGAUGUAUCCCAAGAGAAUGGAAGGGGAAAACAUCCAGUUGGUAGCUUGGAUUGAGCCACUGGUUGUUCCAUGAUUACGUUGGAGUUCUGCUGUGUAAGCUUCCAGUUUUCACAAUCUGAGAUAUGAUCAGAUUAUUGUUGAGGAAGACUUUGGUCACAUGAAGCUUGCUUCACAUUGAUAGAAUUUUGAGGUUCAGAAAGUUCCCAAGUCCAUUUGAAGGCUUCUUCACGAUGAUGAACAAUUAAGUUUGCAUUACUGUGAAUCAUUACCAAUAACAAAUUGAUUUAGAAACAGAUCAGUUACAGCUACAGGGCAUUGCAAGAGUCAAUGCCGAGGAUGUCUCAGGUAUGUGAGUGCUUCAACCGACGAUAGUCAGGUGAUGUGUACAUUAUUAUGAUUCCAGAAACCCCGGCCGGGCAUGACUACAUUAAAUUGGAACAAAAGAGUUAAAAAGACCAAGUUGACAUACCUACAGGCUCGAGGAAGAAGAUGAUGCUUUGCAGCUUUGAUAGAAGAGAUAUUUAUGACUGCUUCCAGUGCCACAUUGCAGAGGAGAAAAGGACGCUUGCGGUGGCUGUCACUGGUCUUAUCCAAAGUCGUGUUCUGUUCCACAGAAACGAUCAUUUGUUCUCAUCACACAUGUCAGUAUCUGCAUCACUGUCUGUCUCGGUCCUUCGUGGGUCCCUUCAUGAUUGAAGAGAACUCGUUAUUACUAGAGUCAACCCCCAUCCAUCAACUGCAUCGAGCAGUCCCUGAGCCA